GAAGGCCUGUAAAAUUUUUAUAUACAUCCUCUGAAUGCAACUCAGACACUUUAAUUAAGCUAAGACCUCC
rnacentral:tRNA from 1 species